GAAGGCCAGCCGGCGGAACUCACUAGAGGCCCUCAAGCAGCCAGCUGGCCGGUCAGAAAAUCCAUUCCUCCCAGGGAGAAGGAAGGAGAGAAAAACUCCAAAGAGAAAAAUCAGGUCUCGGGAACAUGGAGCAGAUGCGCUUCCUCUUUCUUUUCUUCCUCGCCCUGGCCAAGGAGGCGGCUCAGUUAGAAGACAACAAGAUCCCCAGCUUGUGCGCGGGACAGCCGGGUCUCCCCGGGACCCCUGGAACUCACGGCCACCAGGGUUUGCCCGGCCGGGAUGGUCGUGAUGGACGAGAUGGGGCUGCAGGCCUGCAGGGAGAGAAGGGCGAAACUGGCCAUCCAGGACUAACAGGCCUCCGAGGAGAACCAGGCAGCCCCGGCUCCAAUGGGCUCCCGGGUGAGAAGGGGGCCCAGGGGGAGUGUGCGGUGGCACCCCGUUCGGCCUUCAGCGCCAAGCGCUCCGAGUCCCGCAGCCCGCCGCUGCCCGACGAACCCAUCGUCUUCGACAUCGUCCUAAUUAACGAACAAGGCCACUACGACGGCAACACCGGCAAGUUCAUGUGCGAAAUCCCGGGGUUGUACUACUUCGCUGUGCACGCCACCGUCUACCGGAUGAGCCUCCAGUUCGACAUAAUGAAGAACGGCAAGUCGGUCGCUUCCUUCUUCCAGUUUUACGGCAACUGGCCCAAGCCGACCUCCCUGUCCGGAGGCAGCCUGGUGCGGCUGGAGCCUGAGGAUGAAGUCUGGGUGCAGGUGGCGGUGGGCGAAUACAACGGCUUCUACUCCAGCGUGAAAACAGACAGCACCUUCACCGGGUUCCUUGUCUACUCCUACUGGCAGAACUCCCCCGUCUUCGCCUGAGAGUCAUCGCAGGAAACGCCGGCAUCCUAAAGCCUCACCUCCUGGCCCUGGCAUGGAGAGGGCAGCAGCCCAGCGAUGUCCAGCAUAUCCAAUGCCCGUAGAAAUGACCAAAGCUUCCUUGCGUUGGGCAGGACACUAAUUUGAUUUUGGCCACACUCCACGGACACCCUGUUUCAGUCUCUACUAUGGCAAGACAGGAGCGGGAAACAGAAGGUCCAAGAAGAGCAUCCUCAACUAAGCUGUUCCCAAAGAUUAGCUAAACCAGUUGACGGUUUUGACCAUCUCGUCCAUUUGCAGGUGGCCUAGGAAGCCUCCACAGUGGUCAUGGACCAUCGGAAGUGUUGCCCAGAAGAAGCAACACAACCUUGCUGCUUACAGCAAACACAACCUUCGUUCACAACUGAGGGCCAAAUUCUGCUUUAUAGCCAUUGGAAAUAUAGUCAUGAAGAGAGUAGCAGGGAAAUUUGGAAGCCCAGUGGUUCGAAUCCCUAGUACAGGUCUCCUGCGUCAGCAGGGGGUUGGAUUAGAUCAAGGUUCCCCAACCUUUCGGACCUCAGGGACCACCAUAAUUUUAAAUCCCGCGGACCACUAAUAUGAUCUGCCUAAUGACUGGAUGGGUAGGCGUGCCUAGGUGGUCAUGUGACUAGGUGGGCAUGACCAACUCGAUGUCACAUGUCAAGGGGUGCCUCGCCGGCCUCUACUCUCCCCUCCCCUCCCAGCUAUUCCUCACCUACCCAUCCGGGCUCCAUAGGGCCACAACAGGAAGCAGUUGCUGGAGCUAAGCAGCCAGUAUGAGAAAGAGUUGGUAAAACAGCCCAGUUCAAAUUAGAUCUGAUCGAGAAGGAGACUCAGUGAGGCUCACUUCACUGAGGACUACAAGCAUAGGCUUUCCAAGCAGAGGAAAGACCUGUGGGAGUGCAAGGCCAGGUACUGGUGCCUGGAGGCUCAGCGGGCUGAGAUGGCCAGCCAGUUCCAGGUCAUGAUGCAGUCCCACUGGAACAAGGUCCUCCGGCUCUUCCCUCCUGCCUGCACCCAAAGCCCCACACCAGGAGGCCGAAGCAGACCCCAAGUCGGAAUUUCUUCCCCCCUCUGACCCACACAAAAAGACCCAGAAGGGGGAGACUCUCUGCAGCAACACAAAUAAUCAUUGCACAUAUCUGGCCCAUGGGCCAUAGUUUGAGGAUCCCUGAUUUAGUGCAAUAUAAAAAAUGCAAAUAAUUUUUCUGUGGACCACCAAAAUUUUCUCAUGGGCCACCAGUUGGUGACCGCUGGACUAGAUGACCUCCAAGGUCCCUUUCCAGCUCUGUUACUGUUACGGGUCAUUGCCACCUGUUUGCAAGAGGCAGUCUGGGAUAAAGAGGCACACAAGGCAGAAAGGCGGUAUUUUGUUGCAUGCCACUCCAUGCUCUUGAUCUUCGGCCAAAUCAGAUUAACUUUCGAGAAACGUUUUACAAUCUCUUGUUCCCACAAGUUUGAAAGGGUUUUUUAUAUAUAUAAAAAACAAAACAGUCAAGUCCACUGGGACUAGAACAUGUUCUACCCUCCAUUAUAAAUAGACACAGAUAUUAGAAUGAGGAAGAGAAAGAGGAAAGUUUAUGGGGGGGGGGAGGAGUAUUUUUUUUUCCCCAAAAAGGGGCCUUUGGCUAGAUGAGAAUAAAGGAGGAAUGUUUAGAGAAGGGCUGCAGUGGAGGAAAGCAACCUUAUGCUGCCCAGCACAUAGACAGUGUCCUCCUCCACAUUUCCCUUGCUUUGGCCGGGUCACUCAUGGGAAUUUAUGUAGAUCCCAGAUUGCUGAUGCUGUAGAGGGAGAAUUAAUUGCAUGUGUGUUUGGAAGAGGGAGGCUGAAGCGAUAUCAACUUCCAGGGUACAAAAUUGGGACCGAAAUAUUUUGCUACUCAAAGCAAAGGACGAAAUACUGUAGUUCCUUCCCUGCAGGGGCAGAGAGAGAUUCACAUACACCCAACAAGCACAGUGGACACUUAAAAAAUCUUCAAACCAAGAUUCGUGGUUCACUGAUAUCGUUCUGUCUUAUACGUCAUGCUCAGCUUCAGGUAGCCAGUGAAUAUCCAAUGCAGCAGGCUAUAAAGUAGUGAUGGCUAACCUUUUCUGGACCGAGUGCCCAAAGCCCAUGCACCAGUGGUGGGUUUCAAAAAAUUUUUACUAACAGUUCUGUGGGUGUGGCUUGGUGGGCGUGGCAUGGCUUGAUGGACGUGGCUUGGGAAAGAUACUGCAAAAUCUCCAUUCCCUCCCAAUCAGGUGGGACUCGGGAGGCAGAGAAUAGAUGGGGAGCGGGGCCAGUCAAAAGUUUUACGAACUACUCAAAAUUUCCGCUACUGGUUCUGCAGAACUGGUUGAAACCCACCUCUGGCGUGCACGCACGAACCCCAAAAAUGAAAAGCGCGUGUUGCACCCGCGCAUGCACGCCUCCCCGCUCAUGCGCCCCCACCCCCCUGCGCAUGCGUGACAGACCUAAAAACCAGCCACCUGGUGGGACGUGUGCGCGCUUGUGCGGCGCAGCUGAAUUGGGGCAGCAGCUCGCAUGGCAAAUACCACCUCUGGCUGGCCCCAGAGUGGGGUGGGAAUGGAGAUUUUGCAAUAUCCUUCCCCUGGAGUGGGAAUGGAGAUUUUGCAGUAUCCUUUCCCUGCCACACCCACCAAGCCAUGUCCACCAAGCCACAUCAGGUGCAGAGAACUGGUAGUAAAAAAAUUUGGAUUUCACCACUGCCUGGACCCACCAACUGUGUUUUAUGCAAUG